AGAGUUUGAUCCUGGCUCAGGAUGAACGCUAGCGGCAGGCUUAAUACAUGCAAGUCGAGGGGGCAGCAAUGUCACCGGCGAACGGGUGCGUAACGCGUAUGCAACCUGGCCAUAUCAGGGGGAUAGCCCUAGGAAACUGGGAUUAAUACCGCAUAACACGGACACUGGCAUCAGUGACCGUUGAAAGAUUUAUUGGAUAUGGAUGGGCAUGCGUAGGAUUAGUUAGUUGGUGAGGUAACGGCUCACCAAGGCGAUGAUCCUUAGGGGCUCUGAGAGGAGUAUCCCCCACACUGGCACUGAGAUACGGGCCAGACUCCUACGGGAGGCAGCAGUAGGGAAUAUUGGGCAAUGGAGGCAACUCUGACCCAGCCAUGCCGCGUGCAGGAAGACGGUCCUCUGGAUUGUAAACUGCUUUUGAAUGGGAAGAAACGCACUUUUGCGAAAGUGUUUGACGGUACUAUUAGAAUAAGCACCGGCUAACUCCGUGCCAGCAGCCGCGGUAAUACGGAGGGUGCAAGCGUUAUCCGGAUUUAUUGGGUUUAAAGGGUGCGUAGGCGGCUUAAUAAGUCUGGGGUUAAAGGCGGCAGCUUAACUGUACGCAUGCCCUGGAAACUGUUAAGCUUGAGUGACUUGGAGGUAGCUGGAAUUCCCUGUGUAGCGGUGAAAUGCAUAGAUACGGGGAGGAAUACCGAUUGCGAAGGCAUGUUACUACGAGUAAACUGACGCUGAUGCACGAAAGCGUGGGGAUCAAACAGGAUUAGAUACCCUGGUAGUCCACGCCGUAAACGAUGAUUACUAGUUGUUGGGCGAUAGUUCAGUGACCAAGGGAAACCGAUAAGUAAUCCACGCUGGGGAGUACGCCGGCAACGGUGAAACUCAAAGGAAUGACGGG
rnacentral:rRNA from 1 species